rnacentral:rRNA from 1 species
GACGAACGCUGGCGGCGUGCCUAAUACAUGCAAGUCGAGCGAAUGUAAGGGAGCUUGCUCCCUGAAGUUAGCGGCGGACGGGUGAGUAACACGUGGGCAACCUGCCUGUAAGACUGGGAUAACUUCGGGAAACCGGAGCUAAUACCGGAUGCGUUCUUUUCUCGCAUGAGGAAAGCUGGAAAGAUGGUUUCGGCUAUCACUUACAGAUUGGCCCGCGGCGCAUUAGCUAGUUGGUGGGGUAAUGGCCCACCAAGGCGACGAUGCGUAGCCGACCUGAGAGGGAGAUCGGCCACACUGGGACUGAGACACGGCCCAGACUCCUACGGGAGGCAGCAGUAGGGAAUCUUCCGCAAUGGACGAAAGUCUGACGGGGCAACGCCGCGUGAGCGAAGAAGGCCUUCGGGUCGUAAAGCUCUGUUGUCAGGGAAGAACAAGUGCCAGAGUAACUGCUGGCACCUUGACGGUACCUGACCAGAAAGCCACGGCUAACUACGUGCCAGCCGCCGCAGUAACAC